rnacentral:rRNA from 1 species
UACAGAGGUCUCAAGCGUUGUUCGGAUUCAUUGGGCGUAAAGGGUGCGUAGGUGGCGCGGUAAGUCGGGUGUGAAAUUUCGGAGCUUAACUCCGAAACUGCAUUCGAUACUGCCGUGCUUGAGGACUGGAGAGGAGACUGGAAUUUACGGUGUAGCAGUGAAAAUGCGUAGAGAUCGUAAGGAAGACCAGUGGCGAAGGCGGGUCUCUGGACAGUUCCUGACACUGAGGCACGAAGGCCCAGGGGGAGCAAAACGGG